UUUUUUUUUCUCCAUCAGCAAGAGCCAGUUCUGGGAUCGAAAUUGAGGGUUUCAGUCUGAAACUUAUUAGAACCGAAUCUUCUAGGAUUGAUUUUAGUUUCGAUUUUGACUAAUUUUAAUUUCACUUCUUCAGUACGAUUUUGAUUCAGAACCAGCCUAAAUCAACAUACCCAAUUUAUCAAGUGGGUAAUGAGCUAAAUCAGCAGAAACGCAAACACGAAUGCAGUUAAUCACAACCACUUCUAUUAACUAUAUUGGGAAAAAUAACUUUUAAUUUGCUUCUAAUUAUGACAAGAUUAAGAAACUAAAUUGGUGAUAAAAACAGAGUGCAAAGAUUCAAAAUCAUCAGCAAUAAUCAUAAUCAAACAAAAUCAUAUAGCAGGAAUUAAAAAAAAAAGAGAAGAGUGCUCAGUGGUAUUAAGAAUGGAUUAGAGGAUUGGUCCUCAUGAUAAUGAUCAGAUUAACGAGAUUAUUAUCUCAUCAUCAUCGCACCUUCUCUUUAUUUUCAUAAAAUGCAAACGUCCAUUGGAGAGAGAGAGAGAGAGA
rnacentral:misc_RNA from 1 species